CCUGAUCAUCAGCAGCUUCUGCUUCUUUCCAUCCGAGCAGCCAUCUUGACUGCAGUCUGGACCUGCUGGUCCAGAACCGAACUUUGAUGUUAAACUCAAAACAACCGAACCAAGCCGAACCAACACGAACCAAGCCGAACCAACACGAACCUCGGUGUUUCUGUCAGUCUGCCCCCCUCCCCUCCCCCCUCAGCCACAGGAAGACCCAUCCGGUUCCGUCCAGCAGGGGGCGAUGAGCCGAGCCGUAAGAACCACAAAGUUUCAGCUCAAACCAGAACAAGGAGGCCGAUGAUGCAGGGUCAGUUUCCUCAAUCUCAGAUUUAACCUGAGAUUCUUCUCUGUUGACCUGAGAAGCCAGGGAUGUCCAAAGUGUGGCCCAGGGGCCAUAUGGGGACGUCUGGAUGACUUUGUCUGGCCCUCCAGUUGAACUCAUCCCUUCAGCUCUGGCAGGUCGAACCAAAACAUCUGUGGGUCAAACUGAAAGAAGCAGCAGCAGCAGCCGUGACUCAGACGUCUUGGUUCUGGUUAAAUCUCCCCUCAGAUCCGGUUUCCUCCCGGGGAACCGAGUUCCUCAAAAGCUCCGAGUCCCACAGGAAGCAUCGCUGCCGCGCCGGCCUGUCCGGAGCAGGAACGCUGCAGGAUGCCCGCUCUGAUGCCCGCUCUGAUGCCCGCUCUGAUGCCCGCUCUGAUGCCACACGCUGCACGGCAGGAAAACCUCAGGCCAAACCUGGAAUCAUCUCAACUGAACAGCAGCAGAGAGGAGGAAGUGAAAACAAGAACUGCCUUCAUCUUGACUUUAUCAGAACUCAGUAAAAGUGUCAGAGAGCCGCUGCGUUCUGGUGGUUCGGUGUGAAAGCGGCGCUGCUGCUGCAGGGAGACAAACAGGAGCAGCUCAAAAUGUCUGACAGAGCUGGAAACACCCAGAUCCUUCAUCAGCAGCAGGCCGAACCAGCCCGAGACAGGCGGAGAGGCUCUUCCUGCUCGGCUGCAGCCGCCCGCAGGGGAGGAGGGGUGUGAUGGGAGGAGAGCUGCCUGCGCUCCCUCCAGCAGGGGAUGAUGGGAGGAGAGGAGGAGGGGUCUGUAUCUGGAGAUGGAGGGCUGUCAGGAAUGUGGAAGAGCAAGCAGACAUGCAGCGAGCGAGGAGCCGAGCCGCUCGCACUAAAUUUAACAAUGAGAGUCGGCAGGACGUUUAAAUUUAGUCUGCAGCUUCACCGAGUCGGAGCGGCUGCUGCUGCUCACCCGGCAGAAACAUCCUCAUCCUGCGGUGGUCCGAACGGGUCAGGUUCUCCUUCCACAAACCACCGAGGAGCCCAGAUCCUCUGGGCCUGCUGAACAAAGGAAACCUUUCUGAGCUUUACGGUCAACAGUUCUUUCAUGAUGUGGUGAAGAAAUGAAGCAAACUUCAUCCAAAGCGGGUGGAGAAAACACAAAAAGCCAGAAAACAAGAAGCAGAAAUGAUCUGAAAUCCUGAGAACUGAACCGAAUCUAGAGAUCCAAACUCUGCAGAAACGUUUUCAGGGCAAGAAUCAGGAAGUUAUCAUCACAGUUUGGAUGUUUUCUGUUUCAUCCACUUUAUUUUAGCCAUAAAAAGAUGUGCAGAUACAAAGACUGAACAAACAAAUGAGAGGAAAAUCUGAAGAAAGGACAAAAUAAAAGAAAGAGAUGAGGAUAAAAAUGUGAAUAAACUGACUUUAUUCUCAUCCAAAAAACAAAUUCAGCCUCAGUUUGUUAGAAAACAUCAGAAUCAUUUAGAGAAAGAAAGAAAAGAACAAACUAGAGAUAAAAUCCUGGAUUACACUGUAUGCAGAUGAUACAGUGAUCUACACUGAGAUUAGAGGAUGGAUGGAUGGAUGGAUGGAUGGA